rnacentral:rRNA from 1 species
AACGAACGCUGGCGGCGCGUUUUAAGCAUGCAAGUCGAACGGCAGUUGGGGUAGCAAUAUCCUGGCGAGAGUGGCGAACGGGUGAGUAACACGUAGGUGAUCUGCCCCUGGAUGGGGGAUAGCCCGUGGAAACACGGGGUAAUACCGCAUGAGGCCCUGGUGGUGAAGCGCUGGGGUGACAUGUGCACCUGCACCGUCUGGGGAUGAUCCUGCGGCCCAUUAGGUAGUUGGCGGGGUAAUGGCCCGCCAAGCCGACGAUGGGUAGCCGGCCUGAGAGGGUGUACGGCCACACUGGAACUGAGACACGGUCCAGACUCCUACGGGAGGCAGCAGCUAAGAAUCUUCCGCAAUGGGGGAAACCCUGACGGAGCGACGCCGCGUGGAUGGUGAAGGCCGUAAGGUUGUAAAAUCCUUUUGCGGGCGAAGAAUGAGGGGGGGAGUGGAAAGCCCUCUCGAUGACGUUAGCCUGCGAGUAAGCCCCGGCCAAUUACGUGCCAGCAGCCGCGGUAACAC